AUCAUUUACUCUCAAAUUAACUGCUUGUCAUAAAUAACGUUCCACCCCAACAAAAAUCUCACAUUGUCAUUGAUCCACCGCGACGGAGAAGGCAGGUAGAAGAGCAAUCGGAGAUUGAGGAAGAAACGGCGAUGUCGACCUCGCUCAAGUCCGCGGCUCUUCUAGAGCAGAUGAAGGUCCAUCUCGCCACCGACGCUGGAAAGCAGAUCUCCAGCAAGAUAAGCCUCGUCUACCAGCUCAACAUCGCCCCAAAGAAGAUUGGAGUGGAUGAGGAGAUCUACGUUGUCGAUCUCAAGCAAGGAACGGUCACCGAAGGCCCGUAUGAUGGGAAGCCAGAUGCUACCUUUUCCUUUACGGAUAACGAUUUCCUGUCAAUUGCGACAGGGAAGAUGAACCCGCAGAUUGCAUUCAUCAGAGGAGCGAUGAAGAUUAAGGGAAGUAUAAGUGCAGCUCAAAAGUUCACACCUGAUAUCUUCCCCAAACCAUCAAAACUUUAAACCGAAAGCCUGGUGAUGCUCCCUUUAGUGCAAACUAGUGUGAGGAUGACUUUCAGGAUAUGCCGGAAGGCCAACAGAUGGAGUAGACGAGGAGGCGGGAUGGACGCAUGGUACUGUCCGUUGUUCAGGAGUGCGGAGCCUAUUGGAUUCACUGCAAGAGUUAUUUUCAUUUCAUUGUCAUUCGGGUGGGGAAUGUUUGAGGAGUUUAUGUUCAUACCGAUAAACAUAUGUUGAUACGGGCAUGUUCAUGGGAUUAUGAUAAUUUCUUUGUUGGUACUGCAUUACGAUCAUUCAAAUAGUAGUUGAUGAGAGAGAUUAGUAAAAAAAAAAAAAACUGGGGUUGUUUCAGUUGGUAUCAGAGCACACUCCUAAGGGACAACAUGCGCAAGCCAUCUCGUCAAGGACUCAACUACUCCUGCCUUCGAGUUUGUGAGGAUGACUUUCAGGAUAUGCCGGAAGGCCAACAGAUGGAGUAGACGAGGAGGCGGGAUGGACGCAUGGUACUGUCCGUUGUUCAGGAGUGCGGAGCCUAUUGGAUUCACUGCAAGAGUUAUUUUCAUUUCAUUGUCAUUCGGGUGGGGAAUGUUUGAGGAGUUUAUGUUCAUACCGAUAAACAUAUGUUGAUACGGGCAUGUUCAUGGGAUUAUGAUAAUUUCUUUGUUGGCACUGCAUUA